rnacentral:tRNA from 1 species
GCCGAUGUAGUUUAAAAGGUUAAAACAUACCAUUCAUGACGGUAAAAAGAAGGUUCGAUCCCUUCUUUCGGCU